UUGUUUCCCCUGACCCUCGCGCAAAUUAUCAGCAAAAAUCAGCGUUUGCCUUCCAUAUUAGCCCGCUCGGCGAUUUUGUUCUUUGCCUGGGCGAGGCGAUCUGGCCGUCGCGCGCGGGAGCCGCGGCAGCCGGCGUUGUAGAGCAGGCGCAGGGUAGUGGCGGCGCCCGGUAUGGUGCGGCGGUGCUGGGGAGCUCCAGCGCUGAGCGCUGUCGAGCAGGCGCGAGGUGGCGGCGGCGGCCGGCGCUAGGGAGCAGGCGCGGGCGGCGGCGUCCGGCGCGUGGAGCUGCCGUGCGAGGUAUUCUAUCCGUCCAAUCUGGUCUUCGCCUCCGCACACGACAUGCUCCACCUCCUCGCCUAACUCCCUGCCUCCCCAUCCCCUUACUCGUACUCGCCCCCAUCGCCGCCGCUAAAUCGCCGUCGCGGGCUUCCUUCCCCACGCACGGCCGUACCCCGACCUGCUUCCAUCCUCCCGCGCAUAUGACGCUCCUCCUGCAGAAGUAGCCGCCGCCGUCCUCUCCGCCGCCUCCGGCCGGCAUCAGGUCCCAUUGCUCGGACCUGUGGAGGUCGACCUCGUAGACCGCGGGGCGAAGCCGGUGUCGGCCGCCUUCGGGGAGAGGUAGUGCUUGUGCAGCUCCGCCCCCGCGUCGGUCGGCCAGAAUCGAAACGGCGCCGCCGACUCGCACCCUCGCCGUCACCCUCGGUGGACUCGAAGCGGCGCCGCAAACCCACGGGAGGGCGAGCCCCCUCGCCAUCACCAUCGCGUCCUUCUCUGAGCGACGCUGCCGCGCCACGCGGGAGCGCCCGCAGGGACCGUCGCCGCGUGGUGCGCAUCGCGUGGGGGAAGCUGGCCCGCUGGUCCUGUUCCUGGCGCCGCCACAACCGCAGCGACGUCCUCGAGAGUCGAGACCAUGCGCAAGGUGGGCUUCGCAGGUGGUGGUUCUCGGGGGAGGGUCGUUCGGAACGGCGAUGGCGACGCACGUGGCGGCUAAGAAGGCCGACCUCGAGGUGUCCAUGCUGCUCAGGGAUGACCUCGUCUGCAGAAAAUAUUGUUGCAACAACAAGUGCUGUUGAUACUUUAGCAGGAGCUGAUUUCUGCUUCCAUGCCAUUCCUGUUCAGCAGUUCAGUUCAUCCUUUCUUGAAGGUAUUUCAACACAUGUUGAUCCAAAAUUGCCAUUCGAUCCAAAGUUGCCAUUCAUUGCACUGAGCAAAGGGCCGGAACUUAGUACCCUUCGGACAAUGUCUAAGAUGAUCCCACAAGCAUUGGGAAAUUGACUCCAACCAUUUAUUGCUCUAUCAGGACCUUCUUUUGCAGUAAAACUAAUGAACAAAUUGCUGCCUCGUGUCCAGCAGGCAGAGGAGAACCGCUUGUGCCUCCUGCAUGCCGAUAUGCAGAAGCGGGCUGCUCUGAAGGAGAGAACAUCGAGGUCCCUGGUGCAAAAGGCAACAUCAGAGAGCAAAUACAUGGAGCAGGUGCGGUCUGCAAUUUUGCAAAACUGUACUGCUGCUAAGAAGAAACGGUUGAGGUUGCUUGAAGCUGAAAAGGUGAAGGCUCAAGCUAGGCUUUUGCGCAUCCAAAAAGCUGCCAUGAAUGUAUGCAGCCAGAGGGAAACAGAGAGGAAGAAACUGAAAGAACAACGGGACAACAAACUUCAGAGGGUAUGAAUUCUAAAUUGCUCACAGGUGUGUUAAUUCUAAAACUAUUCUAUCCUUCUAUUCUAUUUCCUACAUUCAUAGAUUAUCUUAUUGGGACAAGCGAAGAGGCAGAGAGCUGAGUAUUUGAAGCAGCGAGGAAGUCCUCUCAAUUCUGCCCAUGCUGAUUACGUCAAGCAUGCAGAGUUUCUCUCUAGAAAGCUAGCGUGAUGCUGAAGAGUAUUUGUAAAGUCCAGGAAGACAACACUAACACUGGCUGAAGCCUAUGAUGCCUUGGGAAUUAAUGAGAAGUCUGUGAAGAGUAUACCUUUUGAAAAAUUAGCUA